UCCGCGGGCAAUUACCGAGCAUUAACAUGCACGGCGGCGAGGCACCGCGGGUGCGGUCGACCCGCGCAACCAGCGCUGCUCCGCCUCCACGCCACAGCCGCUCCCUCCACCCCUCUCAGCGCCCACCUUAGUCCCACUUCAGCUCCUCACCACCUCCCUCCGCUCGCCUCAGCCCUCCCGCAGCCUUCCCCAGCCUGCCACCUUCGCGGCUCCUCUCUGCAGGCAGAUGACACCCCAGAGAGCCGCUCUCAUUCCAGUCCGCGUCCAGCAGCAAGGCUGGGCAGAGAGGCAGAGUCGCACACGCUUGUACCGCAGGGGAACCAUCGUCUGACGCCGAGAGCCACAAAACCAGCCGUGACAGAGCAGCCCCACAUGCUGCUCCUGUGAUGAGACACAGAUUCCGUUCAGCUGGCACACACAUCUAUGCCUGGGUCAUUAUUCAAGCCCUUACACUCUCCCUGUUUCAUACGAGGUCUGUACUGAGAACGUGUGUUACAGAAUGCAGCUCAGAAAGGAAUGGGGGAAACCAAUUCCAGCUUCAUUAGCAUCUGUGCCUAGUGAGCAGCAUUUCCUAGCAUCCUGCAGCUUGUACAAGCAGUUUAAAAUGCUACCAUGUUGAUCCUGGUAGGAGCUUUUUCACUGUCUUUGACUUCUUGAUGCACAGUCUGUGUGGUAGACAAUAAAAACCUUAUUCUGCAAAGGAGAACAUUGCUUUUUUCCCCCCUGCAACCAGGACCCACAAGCACAUGUGUGCUUCGCUCUUACGUGAAGUCCACAGCAGCCCUUUUCUCCACGUCCACAUCCAACAAGUGUCCUGAAAACAAGAGUAGAAUGUGGAAUUCCUGAACUGGAUCAGAAGGAACCUGCUAAGUCCUUGGUUAAGCCACUGACAUAGGAAUUGAAAGGAUUUAUCUGCCCCACUGCCCCCUGUAUCUCUUGCCCACACAGACCAAGUCUUCUGGGACAAGAAUUUUCCCUUGCUGACAACCACAAUAAAGUCCUCACCUUGCUAACUGCCUCUAGGAAAUCCUGCCCUGCAGACCAUAGCAAAGGGGCUUAAAUUGAGCUCACCUGUCUCUUCUUUUUUCCCCCUGGAUAAAGAAAAACACUGCUGCAGUUCACAGGCUGCUGGUAUGAAAAGCUUUUAUUACCUUUUUAGCUAGCUUGCCCCAAUUUCAUUCAGCUAUCACAACACUGCGUUUAGAUGAUGAGACUGAAUUACUCAAUUUGAUGUGUUUAACACAUAAUAGAAACCUGUUUUAAGAAAAUGCAGUGUUGGGAUUUGAAGAGCUGAAAUGUUAGGUGUUUCAGAUAAAAGAG